rnacentral:rRNA from 1 species
AGGGUUUGAUCAUGGCUCAGAACGUACGCUGGCGGCACGCCUAACACAUGCAAGUCGAACGAAGUAGCAAUACUUAGUGGCAGACGGGUGAGUAACAUGUGGGUAUCUGCCCUUUGGCCUGGAAUAACACGAGGAAACUUGUGCUAAUACCGGAUAAGUCUUUACGGAGAAAGCUUUAUGCACCAUUGGAUGAGCCCGCACUUGAUUAGUUUGUUGGUGGGGUAAUGGCCUACCAAGACUGUGAUCAAUAGCUGAUUUGAGAGGAUGAUCAGCCACAUUGGGACUGAGACACGGCCCAAACUCCUACGGGAGGCAGCAGUGGGGAAUCUUGCACAAUGGAGGAAACUCUGAUGCAGCGAUGCCGCGUGAGUGAAGAAGGCCCUUGGGUUGUAAAGCUCUUUCGUCGGGGAAGAAAAUGACUGUACCCGAAUAAGAAGGUCCGGCUAACUUCGUGCCAGCAGCCGCGGUAAUACGAAGGGACCUAGCGUAGUUCGGAAUUACUGGGCUUAAAGAGUUCGUAGGUGGUUGAAAAAGUUAGUGGUGAAAUCCCAGAGCUUAACUCUGGAACUGCCAUUAAAACUUUUCAGCUAGAGUAUGAUAGAGGAAAGCAGAAUUUCUAGUGUAGAGGUGAAAUUCGUAGAUAUUAGAAAGAAUACCAAUUGCGAAGGCAGCUUUCUGGAUCAUUACUGACACUGAGGAACGAAAGCAUGGGUAGCGAAGAGGAUUAGAUACCCUCGUAGUCCAUGCCGUAAACGAUGUGUGUUAGACGUUGGAAAUUUAUUUUCAGUGUCGCAGCGAAAGCGAUAAACACACCGCCUGGGGAGUACGACCGCAAGGUUAAAACUCAAAUGAAUUGACGGGGACCCGCACAAGUAGUGGAGCAUGUGGUUUAAUUCGAAGAUACGCGCAGAACCUUACCAACACUUGACAUGUUCGUCGCGACUCUAAGAGAUUAGAGUCUUCGGUUCGGCCGGACGAAACACAGGUGCUGCAUGGCUGUCGUCAGCUCGUGUCGUGAGAUGUUGGGUUAAGUCCCGCAACGAGCGCAACCCUCACUUUUAGUUGCCAUCAUUAAGUUGGGCACUCUGAAAGAACUGCCAGUGAUAAGCUGGAGGAAGGUGGGGAUGACGUCAAGUCCUCAUGGCCCUUACGUGUUGGGCUACACACGUGCUACAAUGGUAUCUACAACAGGAAGCAAGACUGCGAGGUCAAGCAAAUCCUUAAAAGAUACCUCAGUUCGGAUUGCACUCUGCAACUCGAGUGCAUGAAGCUGGAAUUACUAGUAAUCGUGGAUCAGCGUGCCACGGUGAAUGCGUUCCCGGGUCUUGUACACACCGCCCGUCACACCAUGGGAGUUGGUUCUACCUUAAGGCAAGGUUUCAAACCCUUGACCACGGUAUAGUCAGCGACUGGGGUGAAGUCAUAACAAGGUAGCCGUA